ACUAAGGUAGUCGCCAUUCGCGCAAACUGGACUUGGUUACGUUUAAUUGUUUGAAAGUACUGUUCUAAGGUGCGCCGCGCUUCAAUUAAAGUAAUUUCAAACCACUGUUUCACU
rnacentral:sRNA from 1 species